rnacentral:rRNA from 1 species
UACAGAGGUCCCAAGCGUUGUUCGGAUUCAUUGGGCGUAAAGGGUGCGUAGGCGGCGCGGUAAGUCGGGUGUGAAAUCUCGGAGCUUAACUCCGAAACUGCAUUCGAUACUGCGGUGCUUGAGAAAUGAAGGGGAGUCUAGAAUUUUCGGUGUAGCAGUGAAAUGCGUAGAUAUCGAAAGGAAUACCAAAGGCGAAGGCAGGACUCUGGGCAUUUUCUGACGCUGAUGCACGAAGGCCAGGGUAGCGAACGGG